rnacentral:rRNA from 1 species
UGGUACAGGAUGGGCCCGCGUCUGAUUAGUUAGUUGGCAGGGUAACGGCCUACCAAGACAACGAUCAGUAGCCGGCUUGAGAGAGUGGACGGCCACAUUGGGACUGAGACACGGCCCAGACUCCUGCGGGAGGCAGCAGUGGGGAAUAUUGCACAAUGGGGGGAACCCUGAUGCAGCAAUGCCGCGUGGGUGAAGAAGCACUCCGGUGCGUAAAGCCCUGUCAGCAGGGAAGAAAAUGACAGUACCUGGACAAGAAGCCCCGGCUAACUACGUGCCAGCAGCCGCGGUAAUACGUAGGGGGCAAGCGUUAUCCGGAUUUACUGGGUGUAAAGGGAGCGCAGGCGGCGUGGCAAGUCAGAUGUGAAAACCCGGGGCCCAACCCCGGGAGUGCAUUUGAAACUGCCAUGCUGGAGUGCCGGAGAGGUAAGCGGAAUUCCUAGUGUAGCGGUGAAAUGCGUAGAUAUUAGGAGGAACACCAGUGGCGGAGGCGGCUUACUGGACGGUAACUGACGCUGAGGCUCGAAAGCGUGGGGAGCAAACAGGAUUAGAUACCCUGGUAGUC